rnacentral:rRNA from 1 species
CCGACGGGUGAGUAACACGUAUGCAAUCCACCUGUAACAGGGGGAGUAACCCGGAGAAAUCCGACUAAUACCCAUAAUAUGGGCGCUCCGCAUGGAGAGUUCAUUAAAGAGAGCAAUUUUGGUUACAGACGAGCAUGCGCUCCAUUAGCCAGUUGGCGGGGUAACGGCCCACCAAGGCGACGAUGGAUAGGGGUUCUGAGAGGAAGGUCCCCCACAUUGGAACUGAGACACGGUCCAA